rnacentral:rRNA from 1 species
UACGGAGGGUGCAAGCGUUAUCCGGAUUCACUGGGUUUAAAGGGUGCGUAGGCGGACAGAUAAGUCAGUGGUGAAAUCCCCGAGCUUAACUUGGGAACUGCCAUUGAUACUAUUUGUCUUGAAUGUCGUGGAGGUUAGCGGAAUAUGUCAUGUAGCGGUGAAAUGCUUAGAUAUGACAUAGAACACCUAUUGCGAAGGCAGCUAACUACGCGAAUAUUGACGCUGAGGCACGAAAGCGUGGGGAUCAAACAGG